ensembl:lncRNA
GUGGGCUUCCUGGUGCAGUAGGAGUGACCGCGCUGUUUGCUGUGUUAUGUGCUGUGGAGCCUUUGGGAGCCAAACACUGCGUGCAGUGGGACCCUGCUUACAGAGCAGGGUGCGCCAGGGCACAGAGCUUCGGAUGCAAGGGAAACGACCGUGCUUGUUUCCUUGCUGUACAGCACCAUUCGGGGUCUGGAGGCCUCGGCUUUCUGGAUCACGCAGAAUCCAGGUCUCGAAUGCAGGGUGGGCUCACGCUUCGACUUACAGAGGAGGUGGGGUUCUUUGGCGCAGUCGGAAGCAGCCGCUGUUGUCUCGGGUGUGGGUGACACAGCGUAAGGUCUCGUGACCGAGUAUGAGCGGGAGCCGCUUCAAUCCAGGUUUUACAUUCUCCCCUUGUAAGAAAGUAAGGCUUCGACAUUUCCUGUCUGCCAAGCGGUGCAGUUUAUCUUUAAGGAGGCCAGAGAAAUAAGAAAUGAGUCUCACGUUGCAUGGGUGACAUCACUGGCUUUUGGCUCGGCGCUCUGUAUUCUCUGGCUGUAGGCUUUAGCCAAGGCUGCAGGGCUCGGUGUUUGAACAAGGAAAGAUUCCCAGGUGUACGGAAGAUUGGAUCCACUCUUAUUUAGGUUAAAAAACGGUGAAAUGAGAUUUGUAAAGCUCGCGGACUCCGGCGUGCCUUCCGUUGCUUUUGAUCUCUACGAGAUGGGUGAGUUAUUCCCAUUAGAGAGAGAGGGAGAGGAAAUUUAAGGAGAAAAAAAGACAAAAAAAUAAAAAAAGAUGUCCGAAUACACAUCUGCUGAUGCCGAGGAUACGUCUCACGUGAAGCCGCUGAGCUAAAGCCCUCGGCUCCCCCGUUGGAGAUCGGGCCAUAUGGCAGAGAAACGGCGCAGACCCGGAGCCGCUGACAACCGUUAGGGUCUGCCUUCCCCUCCCCUCCUAAGAUGGUUCACGCGCCCGUGCGUUAGGAAAGCGGCGCGCGACAAACCGAAGCGGCGCUGACGAAGGAAGGCGAGCGAACGCCGGCGGAAGGGGGUGGAGGAGCGAUGCCCAGGCCCAGGAGCCGUGCCGCCUAGCGGGAGCCGCCUGCCCGCCGCCGGGCGGUGCGUCCGUAGGCCCCGCGGUCCCUCGGC